rnacentral:ncRNA from 2 species
GUGUGAUAAAGAGGCCGCGGUUUUAAAGAGUAGUCUAUCGACGAAAGGUGAAAUCGCCGAAAUGCAUUUUAUGUGUUGGGACUAUGCUGAACAAGUAUAGUACUGUCAACAGGGGUUUGCCCAGUUUCCUGUUGGAGUACUUAUCAUAU